CCGCCGUGAUGGGAUGAUUUUUCGUCAACAGCAGUUCACCCCGUGAGUGUUGACAAGCCUGGGUCUGAGCGG